rnacentral:rRNA from 1 species
UUGCCAGCCCGCUCAGAAACUCAAAGGAAUUGACGGGGCCCGCACAAGCGAGGAGCAUGUGGUUAAUUCGAUGAUACGCGAGGAACCUUACCUGGGCUCGAACGUAAGAUGACUGUAGGUGAAAGCUUACAUCUCUUCGGAGCAUUUUACGAGGUGCUGCAUGGUUGUCGUCAGCUCGUGCCGUGAGGUGUCGGGUUAAGUCCCAUAACGAGCGCAACCCCUACCUUUAGUUGCCAUCAGGUUAAGCUGGGGACUCUAAAGGAACUGCCUACGCAAGUAGUGAGGAAGGCGGGGAUGACGUCAAAUCAGCACGGCCCUUACGUCCAGGGCUACACACGUGCUACAAUGGCCGAUACAGAGGGCAGCUACCUGGUGACAGGAUGCAAAUCUCCAAAGUCGGUCUCAGUUCGGAUCGGAGUCUGCAACCCGACUCCGUGAAGUUGGAUUCGCUAGUAAUCGCGCAUCAGCCAUGGCGCGGUGAAUACGUUCCCGGGCCUU